rnacentral:tRNA from 1 species
GCAUUGGUUGUUCAAUGGUAGUAUCUUUGCCUUCCAUGUAGAAGACCCGGGUUCAAUUCCCUACCAGUGCA